UUUCUUUCUUCUCUUCCUUUCUUUCUUUCUUUCUCUCUCUCUCUCUCUUCUUUCUUUCUUUUUUUUCUCUCCAGCUAAAUGCUGAUUCCUUGAGGGCAGAAACACAUCAGGGCUUCUUCUUCAUUAAAAGUAAAGUUCCGGUUACUCCAUGUUUGGUGACUGACUAACUCUUUCCAUCUGGACAGAUGUGAUGGUACAAGGCACAUUCCUAAACAUUCCAGCUGAGGGUCCCAUGUCAUUGUGCCUGUUACUGUAAACCUAGUGAUAGGUCCAAGGGAAGCUGCUGCCUUGUUAUACGGACAUGCUGUUAAACUGCCUUCUAACUAAAUACUUACGUUUUGACCCACAGAUUAGUGCUGUCCUCAACCCUGCACAGAGAAACCUCUCUAUGCAAUGGGCAGCACAGAGACUCAUGAGCGGUCAAAGUGCUGAGAAUAAGUUAAGUAUUGCUGGCUCAGCCCUAAAUGAGACAUCUCUGCUAACCACUCCCCACAAGGCUUAGGAACAUGUUGGAAGAAGGGACAAAAGAAUGCAAGAACCAGAGAUGGGAAGAAUGCUGUAAAACGCUGUCUUCUAGAUGUGACGCCGAAGUUGUUGCAGUCAUGACCCCCCUGCGGCUCUAGUCACCUGCACAAGACCUGCACAGGAUCAAGCCAACAAGAAACCGUGUGAAUAAACAGAGGAGCAAGAUUUGGCUCCCGCUCCUACCAGCUGGCUUCAUGCCAUCAUCCCCCAAACAGGAGGACAGAUGCCAGAAGGAAAGAACCAGCAGUAACGGUGACAAAAAAAA